rnacentral:lncRNA from 1 species
UCUAAGAUCUGAGUCAAAACUCUCGCUUUGGAGACCACAGUCUCCUACCAGUAACUACACAAACUGCCAAACCUCAUCAACGAAAAGUCACCUGCGGCAAUCUAUAGUCCUAGGUCCAAGACCUCACUUUACAUCUGCCUAAAAGAUCCAACUGACAAUACCAAUUGAGCUAGACAAUUUUGUCCCCUCAAACUUAAUCCGGUACCAACAGACCACCAAAUGCUCUUUGCAAGUCCAUCACUUGAU